GGAUCAUGUUGCAGAACAAAUUCUUCACAGAAACCGGCAGGAAACCAAUCAAUAACCAUCUCCAUGGCAGCCUUUGGGCUUACCAUGUCACGAGGCCAACAUCUUGUGUGCAGCCCAGUCUAGAAACUGUGGUAACAGUGGAAUAUGGCUUCCCCCUCAGCAGAGGAACUGUGCUCCACCUGUGGACUCAUAAAUGGACUACUUCCAGGCUUUAUUUAUUGAGUUAAGCUGUAAAGAACAUCCCUGUGCAAGUAUUUUGUGGACUUAUAUUUCAUUUCUCU